rnacentral:lncRNA from 1 species
GUUAAAAGGGAGAAGAUUAAAGAAAGAAAAGUUAUUUUGAUAAUCUAUUUAAUGAAAGUUAUAUAGAUAAUAUAGAAUAUUUUGCUUGUUUCAUUAAGGAUAGAAAUAUUAAGCAUAUACAUAGAAUUAUAUUAUCUAAGAUAAUAAAGGAUAUGAAAAGAUAAAAAUAGGAAAAGAUAGAAUCUCUAUUGAUGUAACAUAAAAAUAACUUGAUUGACUAAUUUAUAAUAUGAGAUUUUAAAGGCUAAAGAGGUAUCUAAU